GUGGGGAAUAUUGGUCAAUGGGCGAAAGCCUGAACCAGCGACGCCGCGUGGGUGAUGAAGGUCUUCGGAUCGUAAAGCCCUGUCGGAGAGGGAAGAACAACCUGGAGGAUAAUACCCUUCAGGCCUGACGGUACUUCUCCAGAAAGCACCGGCCAACUCCGUGCCAGCAGCCGCGGUAACACGGAGGGUGCGAACGUUGUUCGGAAUCACUGGGCGUAAAGCGCGUGUAGGCGGCAGAGCAUGUCAGAUGUGAAAUCCCUCGGCUUAACUGAGGAAGUGCAUUUGAAACUGCUCCGCUAGAGUACGGGAGAGGGUUGUAGAAUUCCCGGUGUAGAGGUGAAAUUCGUAGAUAUCGGGAGGAAUACCGGUGGCGAAGGCGGCAACCUGGACCGAUACUGACGCUGAGACGCGAAAGCGUGGGUAGCAAACAGGAUUAGAAACCCUAGUAGUCC
rnacentral:rRNA from 1 species